GCUUGUCUCAAAGAUUAAGCCAUGCAUGUUCAAGUAUAGCAAGUGUACAGUGAAACUGCGAAUGGCUCAUUAAAUCAGUUAUCGUUUAUUUGAUGAUCUCUUACUACUUGGAUAACCGUAGUAAUUCUAGAGCUAAUACAUGCACAAAAUCCCGACUUACGAAGGGAUGUAUUUAUUAGAUACAAACCAACAUCGUGGUGAUUCAUAAUAACUUUCGGAUCGUUUACGAUGCAUCAUUCAAGUUUCUGCCCUAUCAGCUUUGGAUGGUAGGGUAUUGGCCUACCAUGGCUUUAACGGGUAACGGAGAAUUAGGGUUCGAUUCCGGAGAGGGAGCCUGAGAAAUGGCUACCACAUCCAAGGAAGGCAGCAGG
rnacentral:rRNA from 1 species